CAGAAAUAAGGCAUCAAAUACAGGGUGAUUGAAAAAGGACGGAGCAAAAUGACAGCCUCGGAAUACAGCGCAAAUUUAUCAACAUGAAAAAAGGCAUCUAUCUAGGUGAACUCCAGCACUUACAGCUUAAUUAGAUGACCAGGUGCAGUGAUCAAACACAACACCCAAAGGAAGAGGAUUCAUGGGAAAUGUUAGGCUGCAGUACAGAAUGACUGCAAACCAACAUGGAACUGCAAACCAACAUGGAGCCAAUACCCUGCCUGCUACAUCAGCUAAAACAGGGCUGUUGCUGGGCAGAUGUUAGCUGACUGCGGAUUGGCUGCGAGUCUGGAAGCGGGAAUCUUGGAAGGUAUAUAUGACCAGGCAUCGCUGUUGCUCGGGUCAGUCCGGCGAACCUGCGAAGAAAGAAGAUUCGAGCUCAACCACCCCCCCUCCCCUUGUCACGGCCGUUGUUGAUGGAUG